rnacentral:rRNA from 1 species
AGUGAACGCUGGCGGUAGGCCUAACACAUGCAAGUCGAACGGCAGCACAGGAGAGCUUGCUCUCUGGGUGGCGAGUGGCGGACGGGUGAGGAAUACAUCGGAAUCUACUCUGUCGUGGGGGAUAACGUAGGGAAACUUACACUAAUACCGCAUACGACCUACGGGUGAAAGCAGGGGAUCUUCGGACCUUGCGCGAUUGAAUGAGCCGAUGUCGGAUUAGCUAGUUGGCGGGGUAAAGGCCCACCAAGGCGACGAUCCGUAGCUGGUCUGAGAGGAUGAUCAGCCACACUGGAACUGAGACACGGUCCAGACUCCUACGGGAGGCAGCAGUGGGGAAUAUUGGACAAUGGGCGCAAGCCUGAUCCAGCCAUACCGCGUGGGUGAAGAAGGCCUCCGGGUUGUAAAGCCCUUUUGUUGGGAAAGAAAUCCAGCUGGCUAAUACCCGGUUGGGAUGACGGUACCCAAAGAAUAAGCACCGGCUAACUUCGUGCCAGCCGCCGCGGUAA